rnacentral:rRNA from 1 species
AGGGAAUCUUCCGCAAUGGACGAAAGUCUGACGGAGCAACGCCGCGUGAGUGAUGAAGGCUUUCGGGUCGUAAAACUCUGUUGUUAGGGAAGAACAAGUACGAGAGUAACUACUCGUACCUUGACGGUACCUAACCAGAAAGCCACGGCUAACUACGUG